rnacentral:rRNA from 1 species
UACGGGGGGGGCAAGCGUUGUUCGGAAUUACUGGGCGUAAAGGGUUUGUAGGUGGCUUGCUAAGUCACACGUGAAAUCCCUCAGCUUAACUGGGGAACUGCGUGUGAAACUGGCGAGCUUGAGGACAGGAGAGGAACGCGGAAUUCCAGGUGUAGCGGUGAAAUGCGUAGAUAUCUGGAGGAACACCGGUGGCGAAGGCGGCGUUCUGGACUGUUUCUGACACUGAUAAACGAAAGCCAGGGGAGCAAACGGG